rnacentral:rRNA from 1 species
UACGUAGGGACCGAGCGUUGUCCGGAAUCAUUGGGCGUAAAGAGCGUGUAGGCGGCCAACUAAGUCCUGCGUGAAAUCUCGGGGCUCAACCCCGAGCGGUCGUGGGAAACUGGUUGGCUAGAGUGCGGGAGAGGAGAGUGGAAUUCCUGGUGUAGCGGUGAAAUGCGUAGAGAUCUGGAGGAACACCGAUGGCGAAGGCGGGUCUCUGGGCCGAUACUGACGCUGAGGAGCGAAAGCGUGGGGAGCGAACAGG